rnacentral:pre_miRNA from 8 species
CAUCCUACAAGAUGAUCUGGUCCCUUGGUGAACAUUCAACGCUGUCGGUGAGUUUUGCGCUUCUGUAACAAACCAUCGACCGUUGACUGUACCCUGAGGGUGGCCAAAACACAGCGCAUCUCU